UACGGAGGGGGCUAGCGUUGUUCGGAAUUACUGGGCGUAAAGCGCACGUAGGCGGCUUUGUAAGUUAGAGGUGAAAGCCUGGUGCUCAACACCAGAAUUGCCUUUAAGACUGCAUCGCUUGAACGUCGGAGAGGUGAGUGGAAUUCCGAGUGUAGAGGUGAAAUUCGUAGAUAUUCGGAAGAACACCAGUGGCGAAGGCGGCUCACUGGCCCGAUACUGACGCUGAGGCACGAAAGCGUGGGGAGCAAACAGG
rnacentral:rRNA from 1 species